AGAAAUCAAACCUCGAGGCGGUGGUUGAGUGGAUGAAAUCGAAGUCAACAACGCUAGCAAGAGCGACGACAACAAGGGUGAGGUGGAGCGGUGGGGAGGCUCAAUCGGCGAAGUUAAGGUGAACAUGUCGAACGAUAGUAACAUGCGACCGGAGGGUUUGGGGAUAAUAAAAUUACGCCUUGUUUUAUUUCCCAGCGAUGAACGAUGGUGGUGUCUUAGGUUUCGGGUACCACCGAUGGUGUUAACCUGGUGAUAAUGAUAAGGUCGGUGAUGUUUACAGGAUGAAGAUGCAGGUGAUGAUUGGUAAAAAGGUACUUCCGGUUCGAAAGGGAAGGGCCUGACAUGAUCACAGCGCAUCCACCCAUGUUUCCGCAUUAUGAUGAUUUUGGGAUUAUACUAUGAUAACUGUUUUCUUAUAAAGUACUUUUGAAUAUUUAGAAAAAGGAUAAUAAAUGUUUGAUGUAAAGAUAGUUAAUGUUUUGGUUGAAUUAAAAAUGAUAAUUUACUUCAUAA